AACAGAAAGCGUUGAUCUGAGGACCUCCAUGUUGAUCUGAGGACCUCCAUGUUGAUCUGAGGACCUCCAUGCUGAUCUGAGGACCUCCAUGCUGAUCUGAGGACCUCCAUGUUGAUCUGAGGACCUCCAUGUUGAUCUGAGGACCUCCAUGUUGAUCUGAGGACCUCCAUGCUGAUCUGAGGACCUCCAUGUUGAUCUGAGGACCUCCAUGUUGAUCUGAGGACCUCCAUGUUGAUCUGAGGACCUCCAUGUUUAUCUGAGGAACUCCUCAAUGGAGGAGCUCAUGUAGGAGGUAGUAAAGGCUAGACCGGGUUCUAGAGCGUAGGCUAAAGGCUAGACCGGGUUCUAGAGCGUAGUCUAGACCGGGUUCUAGAGUGUAGUCGAAAGGCUAAAUCAGAUUCUAGAGUGUAGUCCAAAAGCUAGACCUAUUUCGAGAGCACAGUCUAAAGGCUAGACUGGGUUCUAGAGCAUAGGCUAAAGGCUAGACCGGGUUCUAGAGCGUAGGCUAGACCGGGUUCUAGAGUGUAGUCUAAAGGCUAGACCUAGUUCGAGAGCACAGUC